rnacentral:lncRNA from 1 species
GUAGGACUGUAUCGAUAGGUAGGAGACGCUAGUCAGGAGAGACUAGGUGUGGCUUUGGUCUGUGAGUGUAGGUUACUACUAGGUGGGUACCCUAUUCCAGAUUUCGUUUUUCUUAUUUCUUAUAGCUUAUGACUCUUAGUUCCCCUAUCCUGUAUUGCUCUGAGUUCUAUUUUACUAUUUAUGAUUCCUUACUUCUGUUAAUCCACCC